CAGCAGCCGCGGUAAUACGAAGGGUGCAAGCGUUAAUCGGAAUUACUGGGCGUAAAGCGUGCGUAGGCGGUGAGUUAAGUCUGCUGUGAAAUCCCCGGGCUCAACCUGGGAAUGGCAGUGGAUACUGGCUCGCUAGAGUGUGUCAGAGGAUGGUGGAAUUCCCGGUGUAGCAGUGAAAUGCGUGGAUAUGCGGAGGAACACCGAUGGCGAAGGCAGCCCCCUGGGCCAACACUGACGCUCAUGCACGAAGGCGUGGGGAGCAAACAGGAUUAGAUACCCCUGUAGUCCCUGUCUCUUAUAC
rnacentral:rRNA from 1 species